GUUAUUCCCCAGCACACGAGGGAAAACCUGUCGUAACAGUGGAUUAGGAGGAACUAGUUGCGUAGAGGUAAAAAUGUCAUUCUAAAAUAUUUGGGAAAGGAGGCAUCUGACGUACAGGAACAUUAUGCAGUUAAGAGUCAGUUUUGUAACAUAGCUGGGAAAUUUGGCAAUCUCAAUAUUGGAAGCACAUAGUAAGUUUGCGAAGAAAGUUGUAUAACCACUAUAAAGAGAUACAAAGAAUCCGCAUCGCAUACGAGGAUAAUGAUUUCAACGGACUGAAACUAGAAAAUGUUGAUAAGCAAAACAACAACGUUGAGCAUGAUGGUUCCCCCUUGAAUUCCGAGUACGAUUCCAAAUAUGAAUAUGAAUCAGCAAUUGAUAUUUCUGAAGAUUAUGCUAACAAUUCUUGCUCCCAAUUCGAGACCUUUCGAACAUGUGAACGAACCACCAGCAAUGCAGAUGAUGAUUGCUUGGAAUCGGAGUACAAUUUGCAUUUUCCUAAUGAUCUGCUGGAAUUAGAGAGCAGAACAUACAACCAACACUUGGAAGUCCAAAGCAACAGUGUUGGACAUGAUAAUUCCUCCAUGGAAUCAGAGUUUAAAUACGUAUCGGCAUUCGACUUUCCGGAAGAUUAUGUCAAUAAUUGUUGCAGCCAAUUCGAGACCUAUGGGUAAAGCGACCAAACCACCAAAACGUAUGAUGAUAAGUUGGAAUUGGAUAACAAUGGAGAUGUCCCAAUGAAAUCAAUAUAUUAUAUUACGUUAUAUGAGGAUUUAGACAGUUUUUCUAUCUUUGAAUAUACAAAUAAUACGCUGGGCGAUUUUUACUGUAAUCUUUUGGAAUUAGAGAGCUUUAGGCAAAGAUGGUACCAUCACAUCAAUGAAGAAAGCAAUAGCGUUGAAUAUGUUGAUUCCUCCGUAGAAUACGAAACCGAACUAGCAAACGAUAUAACUACAAAUGGUGCUAAUAAUUGUUGCUCCUACUUCCGAGACAUAUCGUAUAUGUGACCAAACCACAUCAGCUUAUGAUGAAGAUGUUCCAAUGUUACCGGAAUCGGAAUUCGGAAAUAUUUCAUGUGAGAAUAUGGAAAAUCUGUCCCUCUCUCAAAUCGAAAAUUAUUCCCCAGAAGAUUUUCGCACUGACCUUUUGGAAUUCGAAAACUCUGGGCAUCGAAGAUUGUACCAAUACUUUGAAGACAAAAGAGCCUCAGUGCACAUCACCAGAUAUGGGGAAGUUCAAAUAUAAACGAAAGUGGUGAACUGCUUAUCGAAUAUAGGUAUUAUAGAUUGCAAUCUGACGAUUUGUAAUGAAGGAAACGAACCAAUUUUUAUUAUCAGGAACAGGUACUACAAAUUACCUUUGUAUCAGAGAAUAUUAGCAGAAAAAUAUAUUACUUGAAUAACCACAGCUUCUCUGAUCAUGGCUACAUUAUUUUCAGUCCAGAAGAAAAUACCGCAGAUGUGGUCACUGGGCUAAACAGGAAAAAAGCGGAUUGGAAUAAAAUUCACACAAAUUCACCAGGGGUUAUUCGUUUUAGUUCCCACAACCCACUCGUAAUUAAAGAAAUUCGAUCUUCCAAAACAAAAAUGUUUAAUGUUAUGCAUUUUUUCAAUGUAUUUUGUGUUGACAAGAGUUAUGGAUGAAGUUUCUAUUUUAAAGAUUUUACCUACCUACCUAUGUUUACCUAUCUGUUGUCAAACUUUUCCAAUCAAGGAAGCAUACACAAAUUUUUUCAAAAAAGGAAAAUCAAAAUAAUCAGAACGAAAUCUAAAAAGAAACCUAACAAACCAGCAAUAAAAGAUGGAUCAAUUCAACCAAUUCGUGGAGUCCGAAUUUGAAGCAACCGAGGAACAUGGAAUUCGUGAAAAUAACAACAUUGACGAUGUUUGUUCUGCAAAUGAGCCCUAUCAAGAACGGGCGGAAGAGAGUGGUCAAAACGUUUUCCUGACCGUCCCGCGGCAAAAAUAGAAACCUAAAACGAAAAUCAAAGAAAGGCAACGAGGAAUGUCCUAAAUGAAGCCUUUGAUUCUGAUUGCGGGACGAAUGGGCAAUAUGGUGGAUUAGGAGGAACUAGUUGCGUAGAGGAAUAUUUGGGAUAGGAGGCAUCUGACGUACAGGAAUAUAAUGCAGUUGGGAGUCAGUUUUGUAACAUAGCUGGGAAUUUUGGCAAUCUGAAAAGGGAUUUCAGAGAUUGACAGCAGAGUUUGAACAAUUUUCAAUUAGAAGGCUAUAGAACAGCCGAUGCAUUUGUGGACGCCUCUAAUAACAUUGACUUAGAAUUUAGCUCAGGAUUCGAUACGGACGAGGAACCAGGGGUUAUUCGUUUUAGUUCCCACAACCCACUCGUAAUUAAAGAAAUUCGAUCUUCCAAAACAAAAAUGUUUAAUGCUAUGCAUUUUUUCAAUGUAUUUUGUGUUGACAAGAGCUAUGAAUGAAGUUUCUAUUUUAAAGAUUUUACCUACCUACCUAUGUUUUACCUAUCAGUUGUCAAACUUUUCAAAUCAAGGAAGCAUACACAAUUUUUUUCAAAAAAGGAAAAUCAAAAUAAUCAGAACGAAUUCUGAUUGCGGGACGAAUGGGCAAUAUGGUGGAUUAGGAGGAACUAGUUGCGUAGAGGAAUAUUUGGGAUAGGAGGCAUCUGACGUACAGGAAUAUAAUGCAGUUGGGAGUCAGUUUUAUAACAUAGCUGGAAAAUUUGGCAAUCCGAAAAGGUAUUUCAGAGAUUGGCAGCAAGUUUGAACAAUUUUCAAUUAGAAGGCUAUAGAACAGCCUAUGCCUUUGUGGACGCCUCUAAUAACAUUGACUUAGAAUUUAGCUUAGGAUUCGAUACGGACGAAGAACCAGGGGUUAUUCGUUUUAGUUCCCACAACCCACUCGUAAUUAAAGAAAUUCGAUCUUCCAAAAUAGAAAUGUUUAAUGUUAUGCAUUUUUUCCAAUGCAUUUUGUGUUGACAAGAGCUAUGAAUGAAGUUUCUUUUUUAAAGAUUUUACCUACCUACCUAUGUUUUACCUAUCAGUUGUCAAACUUUUCAAAUCAAGGAGCAUACAAAAAUUUUUUUCAAAAAAGGAAAAUCAAAAUAAUCAGAACGAAAUCUAAAAAGAAACCAAACAAACCAGCAAUAAAAGAUGGAUCUAUUCAUCCAAUUCGUGAAGUCCGAAUUUGAAGCAACUGAGAAACAUGGAAUUCGUGAAAAUAACAACAUUGACGAUUUCCAGAUUUUUGUUCUGCAAAUGAGCCCUAUCAAGAACGGCACGGAAAAGAGUCGUCAAAACGUUUUCCUGACCAUCCCGCGGCAAAAAUAGAAACCAAAAACGAAAAUCAAAGAAAGGCAACGAGGAAUGUCCUAAUGAAGUCUUUAUAGCCCAAAUUCACAUAAACAGAUUGUGGAAUCCCAAACAAACUCCGUGUUCUCUACUCUAGUCUCGGCAAAUAUAAAUUUCUGUGACGGGCCCUUCCCCCUCGAGUUAUUCCCCAGCACACGAGGGAAAACCUGUCGUAACAGUGGAUUAGGAGGAACUAGUUGCGUAGAGGUAAAAAUGUCAUUCUAAAAUAUUUGGGAAAGGAGGCAUCUGACGUACAGGAACAUUAUGCAGUUAAGAGUCAGUUUUGUAACAUAGCUGGGAAAUUUGGCAAUCUCAAUAUUGGAAGCACAUAGUAAGUUUGCGAAGAAAGUUGUAUAACCACUAUAAAGAGAUACAAAGAAUCCGCAUCGCAUACGAGGAUAAUGAUUUCAACGGACUGAAACUAGAAAAUGUUGAUAAGCAAAACA